GGGUUGUGAGGUUAAGCGACUAAGCGUACACGGUGGAUGCCCUGGCAGUCAGAGGCGAUGAAGGACGUGCUAAUCUGCGAUAAGCGUCGGUAAGGUGAUAUGAACCGUUAUAACCGGCGAUUUCCGAAUGGGGAAACCCAGUGUGUUUCGACACACUAUCAUUAACUGAAUCCAUAGGUUAAUGAGGCGAACCGGGGGAACUGAAACAUCUAAGUACCCCGAGGAAAAGAAAUCAACCGAGAUUCCCCCAGUAGCGGCGAGCGAACGGGGAGGAGCCCAGAGCCUGAAUCAGUGUGUGUGUUAGUGGAAGCGUAUGGAAAGGCGCGCGAUACA
rnacentral:rRNA from 1 species